CUCUAAUAAAAACAUAUGGCGAAGUUAUAGAUAAUAUUAAAUUGAUUUUAAAAAUUCUACAAUUGUGAUUUCAAUUAAAAUUAAUGAAGAUUCACAAGACAAUUCCAAAUGCACAGAUGUACUUCGAUUAGUAGAAGAAUCAAGACCUCGAGGAAGGCCGAAGAUGACGUGGAUAAAGGUGAAAGUGGCGGAUAUGAUAAAAAUGAAUCUUACAAAUAUUAAUACUCAGGACGGUUAAAAAUGGAGAGGGAAAACUGCUUAACUGGGUAAACCUGGAAAUCGCUAUUGAGCAAAGAAGAAGGAGAAGUAUAUAUCCAAAAAAGAACCGGAAUUAUAUUUAAAAAUUUCUCUAUUUUAUAUAAUUUGUUAUUGAUUUUGCGAAAAUUAUCGAAAUUUCUCAUUGCUUAUCUCUUUGUUUGUGAAUAAUUGAAUAGCGAAUUAUUUAUACAAAGCUUAGUGUGUGUAAUUUUUUAAUUAUUAAUAAAUCCAAAAUAUUUUAUUUA